GGGUGUGGCUCAGUGGUAGAGCGCUUGCCUGGCAUGCAUGAGCCCUGGGUUCUAGCCCUGCUGUCCA
rnacentral:tRNA from 1 species